AGAGUUUGAUUAUGGCUCAGGAUGAACGCUGGCGGCGUGCUUAACACAUGCAAGUCGAACGGAAAGGCCACAGCUUGCUGUGGUACUCGAGUGGCGAACGGGUGAGUAACACGUGGGUGAUCUGCCCUGUACUUCGGGAUAAGCUUGGGAAACUGGGUCUAAUACCGGAUAUGACCACUUUUUGGAUGGGGUGGUGGAAAGCUUUUGCGGUAUGGGAUGAGCUCGCGGCCUAUCAGCUUGUUGGUGGGGUAAUGGCCUACCAAGGCGUCGACGGGUAGCCGGCCUGAGAGGGUGUACGGCCACAUUGGGACUGAGAUACGGCCCAGACUCCUACGGGAGGCAGCAGUGGGGAAUAUUGCACAAUGGGCGCAAGCCUGAUGCAGCGACGCCGCGUGGGGGAUGACGGCCUUCGGGUUGUAAACUCCUUUCGUCAGGGACGAAGCGUAAGUGACGGUACCUGGAUAAGAAGCACCGGCUAACUACGUGCCAGCAGCCGCGGUAAUACGUAGGGUGCGAGCGUUGUCCGGAAUUACUGGGCGUAAAGAGCUCGUAGGUGGUUUGUCGCGUCGUUUGUGUAAGUCCACGGCUUAACUGUGGGAUGGCAGGCGAUACGGGCAUAACUUGAGUGCUGUAGGGGAGACUGGAAUUCCUGGUGUAGCGGUGAAAUGCGCAGAUAUCAGGAGGAACACCGAUGGCGAAGGCAGGUCUCUGGGCAGUAACUGACGCUGAGGAGCGAAAGCAUGGGUAGCGAACAGGAUUAGAUACCCUGGUAGUCCAUGCCGUAAACGGUGGGCGCUAGGUGUGAGUCCCUUCCACGGGGUUCGUGCCGUAGCUAACGCAUUAAGCGCCCCGCCUGGGGAGUACGGCCGCAAGGCUAAAACUCAAAGGAAUUGACGGGGGCCCGCACAAGCGGCGGAGCAUGUGGAUUAAUUCGAUGCAACGCGAAGAACCCUACCUGGGCUUGACAUACACCAGAUCGGCGCAGAGAUGCGUUUUCCCUUGUGGUUGGUGUACAGGUGGUGCAUGGUUGUCGUCAGCUCGUGUCGUGAGAUGUUGGGUUAANUCCCGCAACGAGCGCAACCCU
rnacentral:rRNA from 1 species